GUAUGGGAGCAGUCACAUUCCCUUGUUUAGUCCUUCAUUUAGUAAAUUAUGGUUUUUCACACACUCUAGAUUUGCCAGACACUAUGUGAGGCUCUGGGAUAAGGUGGUGGUCAGGGUCAGUAAGCCCUACCCUCACAGAACCAGUGGCAACCAUGGGGAUGGGGGAAGGCCAAAGGCCGAGGUGAUUGAAAGCCACAGUAAGGCCAACCCAGCCUUGGGGUUUCAGGAAGCCUUGGGGCCCUGGCCCAGAUGCCUGUCUGUUUCCACCACCUGCCGCUGCCUGUUCCGAGCCUGGAAGUGCCCCAAUGAGAUAGCAGCAGCAAGGUACUUUGUGUGUAUCUGACUGUGGGCCAGGUCCUUUUUUAGGUUCUGGGAGGUGAUACCAGACAAGGCCAAUAAAAUCCUACCCUUGUAGUGCUUAUGUGUAACCAAGAGCCAUGUCAGCCUCCUGAGCAACAGAGCAGUGAGGGAAAAGCUCCUUGGCUAGGGUGCCCAGGGAAAGGCAUUCUGUGGAGGUGACUUGUGGGCUGAAAACUGAGUACUAAUGAAGAGGUGGCCAAGCAGGGGUCUGGGGAAGAACGCUCCAGACAGAGAGAAUGGCAGCUGCAAAGGGCCGGAGGCAGGAAUGAGCUUUGUAUGUACAAAGGACAAACAGAAGGCCAUGUGGCUGGAACUGAGUAAGUGGGAGAAGGGACACAGGUGGGGAUGGAGGUAUGCAGGAGCCAGGCCACAGAGAGUCAUACAUGUCUCAAUAAAUAGUUGGAAUGUUUUAAUAAUAGUUCUAAUGCUUUAAAUCAUUAUUAGAAGGCUUGUAAGUUGGGCGGUGUGAUCUGAUUUUGGAGUGACUGCAGAGUGAGAGGAUGGAUCGUGGUACCAGGUGGUUCUGAGAUAGGAUUUGGGGUAGAAGGGUACAUUUAAUUAUCUCAUAGCCAGCCUCAGGGAGAUACCAUUUCCUUUGUCAUUGACUGUCCUGGAGAUGGAAGUCUUGGCCAGCCACCAUCAGAGGGAGCCUGGACCAGAUGAGAGCAUGGAAGAUGGAUCUGUUGACUGAGAAGAGGAGAGGUGUGAAUAUUGAGCCCUAGGAUGCUAGAGUUUUGGUCAAGGAAGAAAGCCCACUCCCAAGUUGGCUGAGAGUGAGUGGCCUGAGAUAAAAGGAAGACCAGGAGAUUGUGUGUUAUAGAAGCCUUUCAAGUGGAAAGGCAGUCAGCCAUGGUGCAGGGAGGCGAAGAAGGAUGAGGACAAGACAUUGGUAAUGGCUUAGACAGAGUGGAGGUUGUCGAUGACCUUGAGGAGACCACUGUGUGCCCUGGGUAGGGGAUCGGGGUGGGUGGAUGGAAACCCAGCUGGAGUUGGCUGAGGAGCCAAUGGGAAGUAAGGAGGUGAAGAGGGUGACUCUUGACAGUUCUUCCAAGAAUGCUUACCUUAAAGAAGAGAAGAAAAUCUGGACACUGGCUGGAGAUAGUCAGUGGGUUAAGGGAGAUAUAGCAUGUUUAUUGCCAGUGGGAUUGGCCCAGGGAGAGGCAGACAUUGAUUCUAUGCAGGAGGGCCUGGGGACAUGAUCAUGCAUGGAGGCUUUUAAAACCAUGAAACAUAGUUUAUGAGUAUCUGUGUGGGGCUGGGCGGAGAAAGAAGGACAGAAUGAGUGACCAUGACGUCACAUUUUGCUUCUACUGCAGAUUUGGCAUUUUCUAGUGGGACUGGAACUCUUGAAAACAAGGCAGACUUUACUAAGCCUUCUCUGCCUUGCAAGCUUGAUUUUACAGCCUCAUAUCCUGGUGAUUUAUCUGAGUGUGUUUGGGGAUUUUCUGUCCUAGAUAAAUAAGGUGGGAUUCAAUGGCUUGGUCCUUUAGCCCACGCCUUUUCCUGUGCUCAGAUAACUUUGCACCAACAACCACAUCUUUGUCCCUGAAAUAGGGCAUUGCUGGGUGUUUGCUGUGGUGCCUCUGGGUCUCUCUCAAUGUGGGGGUCUGUGCUCUAUCCUCAUGAUGUAUGGCUUCUCAGAGCAGCAUUGGUCCAUGUCUGGUGAGCUCUCUGGCCUUACCUGGUGUUCCCCUCCACCAUCCAGCACACCCAGCCAAGUGUAUGGUGGAGGGUUGCUGGGCUAGGCAGGCAGUCUGACACUUGGGCACUUGGAUACCCAGACGCUCCCCUCUCUGGGUGUGCUGCUUGGCUUUGUGCCUUGACCUCUGACUCUCAUCUUGAUUUCUGCAGCUAGAGCAACAACACUCUGCCAGUAAUGCUAUGGCUGAGGGCCCUGAUACCUUUGUUUCUUCAGAGGGUCUCAGGAGAGAGUUUUGGACAUCAGGUAGCUCUGUUAACUUGUGCAGUAACACAUUUGCAGCACCGUUUUCCAGUAGUGGAGUGCAUGAAUCCAGCUUGGUAGCAAGUGUGCUUGGUGGUUGAAGUUGCUGCAGCAUUUUGGGGGUUUUGCAGAUUUGGCAAUGUGUGUGUUGAAAGCUAAUCGUUUUUCAGUUAGUGUGCAUUUGGCAGAACAGGAAGGAACAAACAGGAACAGUCAGGAAGACCAAGCAUGAGAGAGGUUGGUUGGGAAAUGAGAGUGGAAGGUGAAGCACCUUACUUAGGGAGAAGGUGCUGGUCCCUCCCCACUAGGUUCCUGGUAGUGAUGUGCAGUCUUCAUCUGCACUGGAGAUGCCAGCGUAGGGUAGGGCCUGAGACUGGGUUGCACAGCCCUCUGGGAAGCUCACGGUGUGGCAGGGGGGUACCAGGCUGGCUCUGACCCCCAGGGCCUCCCUGAGCUGAGUGACCUAGAUUGGAUAAGCCUCGGUGUUUUCCUUGUGAAAGAGCACUCUCAGCUGCCUAGUGUCUGCCUCAGGUUGCUGAAAAUGUAUAAAGUGGAAUGCCCAAGCCCUUACCUCUUCAGAUAAGUUUUCUUUUUUUAAAAAUGGAGAAAAUAUAAAAGUAGGAUAAUUAAAUGAACCCCAUGUUCCCACCAUCUAGCUUAUUUGAUUUGUAUUCCCCUCACCCCACACUUUGGAUUAUUUUGAAGCAAAGCCCAGGUAGAUGUAUUUUGUUUGAUGAAUUAACAGGGAGCAGUGGUGCAGAAGGAUUGCACUUGCUGAUGGUGGACACUGGACUCAGCAGGCAGGUUUGGGUGGAAGGCAACUUGUUGCUUCUGUGACCAGUUCUAGGUGUUGGGACAAUACGAGGUUUGAUUUAGUAGUUUGCCCGCACUUAGAAUUAUGUUCACAAUAGCAUUCUUUAUAGAUAAAUACCCUUUGUUCACUAACAUUUUUUAAGCUAUCUUUCUGACUUCAGUUUUCCCAGGGAUUGUUAAAACCUGCUUGGGAUGAGAAAUGUAGAUGCCACUGAUGUUUGCAUGUCUGUUCUGGACCUCUUGGUUUACAGAAUGAGAAUGGAAUGGGCUUGAUGAAGUUCUUACCACAAGGAUGUUAGGGAAAAUAUGCUUCCAUGCAAUGUAGCUUUUUGAGAGCGCUAGCAUUUUUUACUUAAAAAAAAAAAUCAUUCUUUGGUUGUGCUAGACCUGUUGCUAGUGCAAAAUUUAAAUGCACAUCAAAACCACAAUGAGAUACCACUUCACACCCAUUGGGAUGGCUAUUAUUUUUUAAAAUGGAAAAUAGCAGAUGUUGACGAGGAUGUGGAUAAAUUGAAACCUUUGUGCGCUCUUAGUGAAAACGUGAAAUGGUGCAAUUGCUGUGGUAAACAGUAUGGUAGUUCCACAAAAAGUUAAAAAUAAAAUUACCAUAUGAUCCAACAAUUCCACUUUUGGAUAUAACCAACAGAGCUGAAAGCAGGAUGU